UGCCAUCUAUGAGGUCGCACAGAGUCGGACACGACUGAAGUGACUUAGCAAAUAGUGUAAGUAUAACGUUUAUAUGUACUGGAAAACCAAAAAACUUGUGACUCACUUUAUUGUAAUAGUCUUUUUAUUGUAGUGAUCUGGAACCGAGCCCACAAGAUCUCCAAGGUCUGCCUGUACUGACAUGGAGCGCGUAUACUAAUGCAUCUGUGGUGGGACUAAUUCACCAUCAGGUGUGGGGAUAGGAAAAAAAAGUGCAUCUUUUUAGGGAGGAUCAGAAAUCUGGUUGAAUUUCUAAAUGUGCUGGAUUCUCCCAUCUCCUCCUUUUGUUCCUGGCUCUCAAGGGAAAUGACUGAGCUUUGAACAGAAUUGGGACUGGAGGAUUAUUCCAACUCAGAAUAGCAGAUCCUUGAACAUGGGACCCUUGAGAGUCCUAUGAUGUCUAAGCAAUGUCCGCUAUGAAAAGAAUAAUAAAUAACUACACCACUGGAAACAAGUGUCCAGAAAACAGCAAGUUUAUCCUGCACCAGAGCCAAGGAAAACCAGGUGCCGAGUACACCCCAGAGGGAAGGGGUGGGCAAUGCUAGCACAGACUGUGACCUGUUGUAAGAGGGAGACCGGAGGCAGGAAGGGAGGAAAAUCUGAGUCUAUAACCUUUCUUUUUAUAUAAGCCAGACUCAUACAUUUUCUUUAUUUCAGCUGGAACUCACAUCACAGCUGCUCUAUUUACUUACCUACCGACCGCAUACCUUAGAACAAGUUCUGUUCAGAAGGAAACCAGGCAGAGCUGGGAAAAUAUUUCCUCACCCAGCUCCUCAGCUCUGUCGUCUGAGGAGAGCAUCUGACCCAGAUGCCCUUCAAGUUGCCUCCAUCUCCAAGGCUGCAGCUCGAGGAGGAGGAGGAGAAGCAAGAAGCAAGAAAAUUCUUACUUUAGUCGCUCAGUCAUGUCCAGCUCUUUGCGACCCCAUGGACUGUAGCCNNNNNNNNNNNNNNNNNNNNNNNNNNNNNNNNNNNNNNNNNNNNNNNNNNNNNNNNNNNNNNNNNNNNNNNNNNNNNNNNNNNNNNNNNNNNNNNNNNNUUUAGUCGCUCAGUCAUGUCCAGCUCUUUGCGACCCCAUGGACUGUAGCCAGAGGCUUCUCUGUCCACGGGAUUUUCCAGGCAAGAAUACGGGAAUGGGUUGCUAUUUCCUUCUCCAGGGGGUCUUCCCCACCCAGCAACUGAACCUGGGUCGCCCACGUUGCAAGCAGACUCUACCAUCUGAGCCACUGGGGUAAGCCCAGUUCUUCAGUAUAGUAUAAUGCUGAUAUUUGCUGUCUUUAGCUGGCUUUCUUCUCUUGGGUCUAACGUACAUUUUUGGGUGAUGCUCUGUUGGGACCCUGUGAUGCCAGCUUCCCUAAUAUAGAUGGUGCCUUUCCUCCAGCUGCCUAUGUACCACGCCUCCCUUAGCUCAUGACUAUCCUUGGGUCCACACCACACAUACUCUCGUUGGGGUUUCAAGGCUCCUUCAGGCAGUCAUCCCGGCAGAUUCUCUAUAUGAAGUUACAGGCCACCUUCCCUAGCCCUGUUCCACUGUUUCGGUCCUACCAGUGAACCGUCAGAGUAAGGGGCACGCUGUUGCAGCUCAGUCACAAAGUCGUGUCCAACUCUUUGCAGCCCCGUGGACUGCAGCACAUCAGGCUCCCCUGUCCUUCACUAUCUCCUAGAGUCUGCUCAAACUCAUGUCCAUUGGGUCAGUGGUGCUAUCUAACCAUCUCAUCCUCUGCCACCAAAGGGGCGUGGACAUCCUCCAAUUUCUGUUUCUCCUAAGAUCUGGCCAAUCUUCCUGGGUUCCUGUGUAUGUUUCUUGAGGCAACUUGAAUAAGCCUCUUUUCCUUGCCUCCAAAAGUUCACCUAGGGAACUUUCCAAAACUAGAUUUUCCUCUCAUCGAAUGCUUCUCUGUAGCACUGCCCCUUCUAGCAACACCGGCUUUCAUCCCAUUCAGUCCUGCCCUGCAAAGCUGGGCCAGGGAACAGCCAAGGGAGGCAUCAAACACAGGAACUAAAACCUGAAACCAGCAACAACUCAGGAAAUU
ensembl:lncRNA